rnacentral:lncRNA from 1 species
UAAAAUGUACUAUACCAUUCCUUACACACAAGGAAUGCAGAAUAAAAAGAUUUUAACAAUAAAAUAACAGAUUUUGAAAAACGCAAAUUUAUCGAAUAAAAUUAACUAACUCAAGAUAAGUAACUGCCCAUAACCGAAUUUAAGUAACUGAAAUCUGAUAAAAAAAACAAACUAACUAACUCAAUUGUUUAUCUAUAAAUUAUGGCUUUAGAACUUGUUAUUCUAAAUUCUCAUAUCUAGACCCUUUUACUAUUUUUUAUUUUCUUCAUCUUGCACACACAGUGUAAUUUGCUUGGCUAACCAAGUAGUUCUAAGAAUGAAUACCAGAAAACUUGAAUCU